GCGUCGGUCGGGGGCGCGCUCGGGUAACCUGUACCCCACGUAGUCGCCGGUUACCGAUCGGACUAAGCUCCAGAGAAGGCCCCUGUUCCAAAGAUGCCCUGUUCAUUCCCAUCACGCUGGCUCCCUAGAGAACGAGCCCCCAAGGCCAGAGGCUGCUCUUUCCAUGCCUAGCCCGCCCCUGGUCCCUGAUUAAGCUCAGGCUCCUUCCUCCUUCCCGCCUGAUGAGGGGAUCGUACAAUUUGGGAGAAGGAAGAGCCUCUGGUCCCUUUUAGAUGUCCCCCUUUGGAGCGGGAUGUCAUUCUUUGGGUUCGAGUCGACUUGUUUUUCUUGAACAUUGCCCCUUGGAGAAAUUGCUUCCCCUGUGUAACUUCCCUCGUGCGCUGCGUGACGUCGACGUGACGCAGCAGGACGCCACCCCUUUCCGUUCCAUGACGUAAGCUGGGCACAUGUUUCCGUGUUUGUCAUCCCAUCUUAAUUGCAAGAAACUGACGAUGCUUCAGACGUCUUUGUAUUCCCCAGGCUGCCCAUCAGAGGACCUCAUGUGACCCUAUUUUGAGGCAGCAGAUCCCUAUAAAAAUUGUAUUUCUGCAUUUUCCUUCUGUAAUACGUCAAAAUCAGGAAAUAGAAAUUGCACAAUUAGCAUUCAGGGGAGGCUGACCACUGUAAAUUUUUGCCUAUCUAGGAUCUCUUAUUGUGCUUCGAUGUGUAAAAGUUACUACUGGGGGUUGAACCCCCAUCCGUGUCCCUUACUCAAAAGGAUUGCACCAAAGAACCAUCUUUUUUGGCUGUUUGGUGACCUAUGAUUUUGGAAUCAGUGGUUUUUUUUUUUUUUUUUUUUUCUUUUCUUAGAGAAGUCACAACAGCUCCUGCUGAAACAUUUUAAUGCUGCAUGAAAUCUUGCACUGUCAAAAGAUAGUGUUCUGGCUGUGCUGGAAACAAAGACAAAUUCAUUCCUUCAGGGUGUCAUUCUAAGGUCAUGCCAGUUGCUGAAUUGAAUGGGAUGUUGUCACCUUAAGUAUAGUUUGGUUUCUGGAGCAGGUUUGUUCCCUUUAGUGUUUGCCUGGUGAAUCACUAGGCUUCAGCAGUAGACCAACAGUAGUCUAAUUUGUUUCUGGUUGUCAAGCAACCAUUAGUUUAAAUUCGUGACUUUUUUGCUCACAUUUUACUAGAUGUAUGCUUUUUUUUUUUUUUUUUUAAAGCACAUUCACUUUGAUGCUUUUAUUUUUUUGGUGAUUGAAGUUAUAAAUGUUUAUUUGAGAGGAAGAUGGGUAUAGUGGACUUGGAGGGAGAUCUGGAUUUGAAUUCCGAUCCUUCUUGCUAGAUUUGUGAAUCUGUGACUUUGAAUAAGUUACUCAAUCUUGCCCAGUUUUGGUUUUCUUAUCUGUGAAAUGGGAAUAAUACUCUUAACCAGAGAACAGGGUAGUUGUGGGGAAAUAAAUGAAAUUACAGAUAGAGGUGGGUAAUACAGUGCCCGAUACUAAGUCGAUUUUCAGAACGUGUUGGGUCUGUUUCCUUUUUUCAUAGAAGUGAGAGGUAAAAUAGGUAUUGUGGGGAAGUACAUGGAAGAAUAAUUCUGUAAUGUAGGUAAGGUCCUUUUGCUUUUUCCAAGAUGAGUAUUUCUGUUUUGCAUAUGAUCUAGAUAAGCAUCCUUUCAAGAACUGUGACAUCAAUGGGUAGAAAUAAAAGUGGAAAUGUUGCAGAAU
rnacentral:lncRNA from 1 species